CAAUGUCUAGCAAUCAAAUGUCUUUAUAAAGCCCUUUUUACAGCAGGAGUUGUUGUACCCACACCAUCUACAGUCACACUGGGGCUGAAUCCCACUAUAACCCUUAGUCCCUACUCUCUACUCUCUACUCACUAUCUACUGUCAGACUGGGGCCGAAUUCCACUAUAACCCUUAGUCCCUACUCCCUACUCACUAUCUACAGUCACACUGGAGCCGAAUCCCACUAUAACCCUUAGUCCCUACUCCCUACUCCCUACUCACUAUCUACUGUCAGACUGGGGCCGAAUCCCACUAUAACCCUUAGUCCCUACUCCCUACUCCCUACUCACUAUCUACUGUCAGACUGGGGCCGAAUUCCACUAUAACCCUUAGUCCCUACUCCCUACUCACUAUCUACAGUCACACUGGAGCCGAAUCCCACUAUAACCCUUAGUCCCUACUCCCUACUCCCUACUCACUAUCUACUGUCAGACUGGGGUCGAAUUGCACUAUAACCCUUAGCCCCUACUCUCUACUCCCUACUCACUAUCUACUGUCAGACUGGGGUCGAAUUCCACUAUAACCCUUAGCCCCUACUCUCUACUCCCUACUCACUAUCUACAGUCACACUGGAGCCGAAUCCCACUAUAACCUUUAGUCCCUACUCCCUACUCCCUACUCACUAUCUACUGUCAGACUGGGGCCGAAUUCCACUAUAACCCUUAGCCCCUACUCUCUACUCCCUACUCACUAUCUACAGUCAGACUGGGGCCGAAUUCCACUAUAACCCUUAGCCCCUACUCUCUACUCCCUACUCACUAUCUACAGUCAGACUGGGGCCGAAUUCCACUAUAACCCUUAGCCCCUACUCUCUACUCCCUACUCACUAUCUACAGUCAGACUGGGGCCGAAUUCCACUAUAACCCUUAGCCCCUACUCUCUACUCCCUACUCACUAUCUACAGUCAGACUGGGGCUGAAUCCCACUAUAACCCUCAGCCCCUACUCUCUACUCACUAUCUACUGUCAGACUGGGGCUGAAUCCCGCUAUAACCCUUAGCCCCUGGAUGAAUGAAGGCUGGAUGAAGGCCGUCAGUAGGUUUGUGGACCUGAGGGAGAGCUGUAUAGUAUAUGGAUGAAGGCCAUCAGUAGGUUUGGACCUGAGGGAGAGCUGUAUAGUAUAUGGAUGAAGGUAGUGGGUUUGUGGACCUGAGGGAGAGCUGUAUAGUAUAUGGAUGAAGGCAGUCAGUAGGUGUGUGGACCUGAGGGAGAGCUGUAUAGUAUAUGGAUGAAGGCCAGUCAGUAGGUGUGUGGACCUGAGGGAGAGCUGUAUAGUAUAUGGAUGAAGGCAGUCAGUAGGUGUGUGGACCUGAGGGAGAGCUGUAUAGUAUAUGGAUGAAGGUAGGUUUGAGGACCUGAGGGAGAGCUGUAUAGUAUAUGGAUGAAGGCAGUCAGUAGGUUUGUGGACCUGAGGGAGAGCUGUAUAGUAUAUGGAUGAAGGCCAUCAGUAGGUUUGUGGACCUGAGGGAGAGCUGUAUAGUAUAUGGAUGAAGGCCAGUCAGUAGGUUUGUGGACCUGAGGGAGAGCUGUAUAGUAUAUGGAUGAAGGCAGUCAGUAGGUUUGGACCUGAGGGAGAGCUGUAUAGUAUAUGGAUGAAGGCAGUCAGUAGGUUUGGACCUGAGGGAGAGCUGUAUAGUAUAUGGAUGAAGGCAGUCAGUAGGUUUGGACCUGAGGGAGAGCUGUAUAGUAUAUGGAUGAAGGCAGUCAGUAGGUUUGGACCUGAGGGAGAGCUGUAUAGUAUAUGGAUGAAGGCCAGUCAGUAGGUUUGGACCUGAGGGAGAGCUGUAUAGUAUAUGGAUGAAGGCCAGUCAGUAGGUUUGUGGACCUGAGGGAGAGCUGUAUAGUAUAUGGAUGAAGGCAGUCAGUAGGUUUGGACCUGAGGGAGAGCUGUAUAGUAUAUGGAUGAAGGCAGUCAGUAGGUUUGGACCUGAGGGAGAGCUGUAUAGUAUAUGGAUGAAGGCCAGUCAGUAGGUUUGUGGACCUGAGGGAGAGCUGUAUAGUAUAUGGAUGAAGGCCAGUCAGUAGGUUUGUGGACCUGAGGGAGAGCUGUAUAGUAUAUGGAUGAAGGUAGGUUUGUGGACCUGAGGGAGAGCUGUAUAGUAUAUGGAUGAAGGCAGUCAGGUUUGUGGACCUGAGGGAGAGCUGUAUAGUAUAUGGAUGAAGGCAGUCAGUAGGUUUGUGGACCUGAGGGAGAGCUGUAUAGUAUAUGGAUGAAGGUAGGUUUGUGGACCUGAGGGAGAGCUGUAUAGUAUAUGGAUGAAGGCAGUCAGUAGGUUUGUGGACCUGAGGGAGAGCUGUAUAGUAUAUGGAUGAAGGCAGUCAGUAGGUUUGUGGACCUGAGGGAGAGCUGUAUAGUAUAUGGAUGAAGGCAGUCAGUAGGUUUGUGGACCUGAGGGAGAGCUGUAUAGUAUAUGGAUGAAGGCCAUCAGUAGGUUUGUGGACCUGAGGGAGAGCUGUAUAGUAUAUGGAUGAAGGCAGUCAGUAGGUUUGUGGACCUGAGGGAGAGCUGUAUAGUAUAUGGAUGAAGGCAGUCAGUAGGUUUGUGGACCUGAGGGAGAGCUGUAUAGUAUAUGGAUGAAGGCCAUCAGUAGGUUUGUGGACCUGAGGGAGAGCUGUAUAGUAUAUGGAUGAAGGCAGUCAGUAGGUUUGUGGACCUGAGGGAGAGCUGUAUAGUAUAUGGAUGAAGGCAGUCAGUAGGUUUGUGGACCUGAGGGAGAGCUGUAUAGUAUAUGGAUGAAGGCAGUCAGUAGGUUUGUGGACCUGAGGGAGAGCUGUAUAGUAUAUGGAUGAAGGCAGUCAGUAGGUUUGUGGACCUGAGGGAGAGCUGUAUAGUAUAUGGAUGAAGGCAGGCAGUAGGUUUGUGGACCUGAGGGAGAGCUGUAUAGUAUAUGGAUGAAGGCCAUCAGUAGGUUUGUGGACCUGAGGGAGAGCUGUAUAGUAUAUGGAUGAAGGCCAGUCAGUAGGUUUGGACCUGAGGGAGAGCUGUAUAGUAUAUGGAUGAAGGCCAGUCAGUAGGUUUGGACCUGAGGGAGAGCUGUAUAGUAUAUGGAUGAAGGCCAGUCAGUAGGUUUGGACCUGAGGGAGAGCUGUAUAGUAUAUGGAUGAAGGCAGUCAGUAGGUUUGGACCUGAGGGAGAGCUGUAUAGUAUAUGGAUGAAGGCCAGUCAGUAGGUUUGUGGACCUGAGGGAGAGCUGUAUAGUAUAUGGAUGAAGGCCAGUCAGUAGGUUUGUGGACCUGAGGGAGAGCUGUAUAGUAUAUGGAUGAAGGUAGGUUUGUGGACCUGAGGGAGAGCUGUAUAGUAUAUGGAUGAAGGCAGUCAGGUUUGUGGACCUGAGGGAGAGCUGUAUAGUAUAUGGAUGAAGGCAGUCAGUAGGUUUGUGGACCUGAGGGAGAGCUGUAUAGUAUAUGGAUGAAGGUAGGUUUGUGGACCUGAGGGAGAGCUGUAUAGUAUAUGGAUGAAGGCAGUCAGUAGGUUUGUGGACCUGAGGGAGAGCUGUAUAGUAUAUGGAUGAAGGCAGUCAGUAGGUUUGUGGACCUGAGGGAGAGCUGUAUAGUAUAUGGAUGAAGGCCAGUCAGUAGGUUUGUGGACCUGAGGGAGAGCUGUAUAGUAUAUGGAUGAAGGCCAGUCAGUAGGUUUGGACCUGAGGGAGAGCUGUAUAGUAUAUGGAUGAAGGCCAGUCAGUAGGUUUGUGGACCUGAGGGAGAGCUGUAUAGUAUAUGGAUGAAGGCAGUCAGUAGGUUUGGACCUGAGGGAGAGCUGUAUAGUAUAUGGAUGAAGGCAGUCAGUAGGUUUGGACCUGAGGGAGAGCUGUAUAGUAUAUGGAUGAAGGCCAGUCAGUAGGUUUGUGGACCUGAGGGAGAGCUGUAUAGUAUAUGGAUGAAGGCCAGUCAGUAGGUUUGUGGACCUGAGGGAGAGCUGUAUAGUAUAUGGAUGAAGGUAGGUUUGUGGACCUGAGGGAGAGCUGUAUAGUAUAUGGAUGAAGGUAGGUUUGUGGACCUGAGGGAGAGCUGUAUAGUAUAUGGAUGAAGGCAGUCAGGUUUGUGGACCUGAGGGAGAGCUGUAUAGUAUAUGGAUGAAGGCAGUCAGUAGGUUUGUGGACCUGAGGGAGAGCUGUAUAGUAUAUGGAUGAAGGCCAUCAGUAGGUUUGUGGACCUGAGGGAGAGCUGUAUAGUAUAUGGAUGAAGGCCAUCAGUAGGUUUGUGGACCUGAGGGAGAGCUGUAUAGUAUAUGGAUGAAGGUAGGUUUGUGGACCUGAGGGAGAGCUGUAUAGUAUAUGGAUGAAGGUAGGUUUGUGGACCUGAGGGAGAGCUGUAUAGUAUAUGGAUGAAGGCCAUCAGUAGGUUUGUGGACCUGAGGGAGAGCUGUAUAGUAUAUGGAUGAAGGUAGGUUUGUGGACCUGAGGGAGAGCUGUAUAGUAUGUGGAUGAAGGCCAUCAGUAGGUUUGUGGACCUGAGGGAGAGCUGUAUAGUAUAUGGAUGAAGGCCGUCAGUAGGUUUGUGGACCUGAGGGAGAGCUGUAUAGUAUAUGGAUGAAGGCAGUCAGUAGGUUUGUGGACCUGAGGGAGAGCUGUAUAGUAUAUGGAUAAAGGCAGUCAGUAGGUUUGUGGACCUGAGGGAGAGCUGUAUAGUAUAUGGAUGAAGGUAGGUUUGUGGACCUGAGGGAGAGCUGUAUAGUAUAUGGAUGAAGGCAGUCAGUAGGUUUGUGGACCUGAGGGAGAGCUGUAUAGUAUAUGGAUGAAGGCAGUCAGGUUUGUGGACCUGAGGGAGAGCUGUAUAGUAUAUGGAUGAAGGCAGUCAGUAGGUUUGUGGACCUGAGGGAGAGCUGUAUAGUAUGUGGAUGAAGGCCAUCAGUAGGUUUGUGGACCUGAGGGAGAGCUGUAUAGUAUAUGGAUGAAGGCAGUCAGUAGGUUUGUGGACCUGAGGGAGAGCUGUAUAGUAUAUGGAUGAAGUCAGUAGGUUUGUGGACCUGAGGGAGAGCUGUAUAGUAUAUGGAUAAAGGCAGUCAGUAGGUUUGUGGACCUGAGGGAGAGCUGUAUAGUAUAUGGAUAAAGGCAGUCAGUAGGUUUGUGGACCUGAGGGAGAGCUGUAUAGUAUAUGGAUGAAGGCAGUCAGUAGGUGUGUGGACCUGAGGGAGAGCUGUAUAGUAUAUGGAUGAAGGUAGGUUUGAGGACCUGAGGGAGAGCUGUAUAGUAUGUGGAUGAAGGCCGUCAGUAGGUUUGUGGACCUGAGGGAGAGCUGUAUAGUAUGUGGAUGAAGGCCGUCAGUAGGUUUGUGGACCUGAGGGAGAGCUGUAUAGUAUAUGGAUGAAGGUAGUAGGUUUGUGGACCUGAGGGAGAGCUGUAUAGUAUAUGGAUGAAGGCAGUCAGUAGGUGUGUGGACCUGAGGGAGAGCUGUAUAGUAUAUGGAUGAAGGUAGGUUUGAGGACCUGAGGGAGAGCUGUAUAGUAUGUGGAUGAAGGCCGUCAGUAGGUUUGGACCUGAAGGAGAGCUGUAUAGUAUAUGGAUGAAGGCAGUAGGUUUGUGGACCUGAGGGAGAGCUGUAUAGUAUAUGGAUGAAGGCAGUCAGUAGGUUUGUGGACCUGAGGGAGAGCUGUAUAGUAUAUGGAUGAAGGCCAUCAGUAGGUUUGUGGACCUGAGGGAGAGCUGUAUAGUAUAUGGAUGAAGUCAGUAGGUUUGUGGACCUGAGGGAGAGCUGUAUAGUAUAUGGAUGAAGUCAGUAGGUUUGUGGACCUGAGGGAGAGCUGUAUAGUAUAUGGAUGAAGGCCAUCAGUAGGUUUGUGGACCUGAGGGAGAGCUGUAUAGUAUAUGGAUGAAGGCAGUCAGUAGGUUUGUGGACCUGAGGGAGAGCUGUAUAGUAUAUGGAUGAAGGCCGUCAGUAGGUUUGUGGACCUGAGGGAGAGCUGUAUAGUAUAUGGAUGAAGGCCAGUCAGUAGGUUUGUGGACCUGAGGGAGAGCUGUAUAGUAUAUGGAUGAAGGCCGUCAGUAGGUUUGUGGACCUGAGGGAGAGCUGUAUAGUAUAUGGAUGAAGGCCAGUCAGUAGGUUUGUGGACCUGAGGGAGAGCUGUAUAGUAUAUGGAUGAAGGCCAGUCAGUAGGUUUGUGGACCUGAGGGAGAGCUGUAUAGUAUAUGGAUGAAGGUAGGUUUGUGGACCUGAGGGAGAGCUGUAUAGUAUGUGGAUGAAGGCCAUCAGUAGGUUUGUGGACCUGAGGGAGAGCUGUAUAGUAUAUGGAUGAAGGCAGUAGGUUUGAGGACCUGAGGGAGAGCUGUAUAGUAUGUGGAUGAAGGCAGGCAGUAGGUUUGUGGACCUGAGGGAGAGCUGUAUAGUAUGUGGAUGAAGGCCAUCAGUAGGUUUGUGGACCUGAGGGAGAGCUGUAUAGUAUAUGGAUGAAGGUAGGUUUGUGGACCUGAGGGAGAGCUGUAUAGUAUAUGGAUGAAGGUAGGUUUGUGGACCUGAGGGAGAGCUGUAUAGUAUAUGGAUGAAGGCAGUCAGGUUUGUGGACCUGAGGGAGAGCUGUAUAGUAUAUGGAUGAAGGCAGUCAGUAGGUUUGUGGACCUGAGGGAGAGCUGUAUAGUAUAUGGAUGAAGGCAGUCAGUAGGUUUGUGGACCUGAGGGAGAGCUGUAUAGUAUGUGGAUGAAGGCAGUCAGUAGGUUUGUGGACCUGAGGGAGAGCUGUAUAGUAUAUGGAUGAAGGCCAUCAGUAGGUUUGUGGACCUGAGGGAGAGCUGUAUAGUAUAUGGAUGAAGGUAGGUUUGUGGACCUGAGGGAGAGCUGUAUAGUAUAUGGAUGAAGGUAGGUUUGUGGACCUGAGGGAGAGCUGUAUAGUAUAUGGAUGAAGGCAGUCAGUCGGUUUGUGGACCUGAGGGAGAGCUGUAUAGUAUAUGGAUGAAGGCCAUCAGUAGGUUUGUGGACCUGAGGGAGAGCUGUAUAGUAUAUGGAUGAAGGCCAUCAGUAGGUUUGUGGACCUAAGGGAGAGCUGUAUAGUAUAUGGAUGAAGGCCAUCAGUAGGUUUGUGGACCUGAGGGAGAGCUGUAUAGUAUAUGGAUGAAGUCAGUAGGUUUGUGGACCUGAGGGAGAGCUGUAUAGUAUAUGGAUGAAGGCAGUCAGUAGGUUUGUGGAACCGAAGGAGAGCUGUAUAGUAUAUGGAUGAAGGCAGUAGGUUUGUGGACCUGAAGGAGAGCUGUAUAGUAUAUGGAUGAAGGCAGUAGGUUUGUGGACCUGAGGGAGAGCUGUAUAGUAUAUGGAUGAAGGCCAUCAGUAGGUUUGUGGACCUGAGGGAGAGCUGUAUAGUAUAUGGAUGAAGGCAGUCAGUAGGUUUGUGGACCUGAGGGAGAGCUGUAUAGUAUAUGGAUGAAGGCCAUCAGUAGGUUUGUGGACCUGAGGGAGAGCUGUAUAGUAUAUGGAUGAAGGUAGGUUUGUGGACCUGAGGGAGAGCUGUAUAGUAUAUGGAUGAAGGCAGUAGGUUUGUGGACCUGAGGGAGAGCUGUAUAGUAUAUGGAUGAAGGCCAUCAGUAGGUUUGUGGACCUGAGGGAGAGCUGUAUAGUAUAUGGAUGAAGGCCAUCAGUAGGUUUGUGGACCUGAGGGAGAGCUGUAUAGUAUAUGGAUGAAGGUAGGUUUGUGGACCUGAGGGAGAGCUGUAUAGUAUAUGGAUGAAGGCAGUAGGUUUGUGGACCUAAGGGAGAGCUGUAUAGUAUAUGGAUGAAGGCCAUCAGUAGGUUUGUGGACCUGAGGGAGAGCUGUAUAGUAUAUGGAUGAAGGCAGUCAGUAGGUUUGUGGACCUGAGGGAGAGCUGUAUAGUAUAUGGAUGAAGGUAGUAGGUUUGUGGACCUGAGGGAGAGCUGUAUAGUAUAUGGAUGAAGGCAGUCAGUAGGUGUGUGGACCUGAGGGAGAGCUGUAUAGUAUGUGGAUGAAGGCCAGUCAGUAGGUUUGGACCUGAGGGAGAGCUGUAUAGUAUGUGGAUGAAGGCCAGUCAGUAGGUUUGGACCUGAGGGAGAGCUGUAUAGUAUAUGGAUGAAGGCCAGUCAGUAGGUUUGGACCUGAGGGAGAGCUGUAUAGUAUAUGGAUGAAGGCAGUAGGUUUGUGGACCUGAGGGAGAGCUGUAUAGUAUAUGGAUGAAGGCCAUCAGUAGGUUUGUGGACCUGAGGGAGAGCUGUAUAGUAUAUGGAUGAAGGCAGUCAGUAGGUUUGUGGACCUGAGGGAGAGCUGUAUAGUAUAUGGAUGAAGGCAGUCAGUAGGUUUGUGGACCUGAGGGAGAGCUGUAUAGUAUAUGGAUGAAGGUAGUAGGUUUGUGGACCUGAGGGAGAGCUGUAUAGUAUAUGGAUGAAGGCAGUCAGUAGGUGUGUGGACCUGAGGGAGAGCUGUAUAGUAUGUGGAUGAAGGCCAGUCAGUAGGUUUGGACCUGAGGGAGAGCUGUAUAGUAUAUGGAUGAAGGCCAGUCAGUAGGUUUGGACCUGAGGGAGAGCUGUAUAGUAUAUGGAUGAAGGCAGUCAGUAGGUUUGUGGACCUGAGGGAGAGCUGUAUAGUAUAUGGAUGAAGGCCAUCAGUAGGUUUGUGGACCUGAGGGAGAGCUGUAUAGUAUAUGGAUGAAGGCCAUCAGUAGGUUUGUGGACCUGAGGGAGAGCUGUAUAGUAUAUGGAUGAAGGCCGUCAGUAGGUUUGUGGACCUGAGGGAGAGCUGUAUAGUAUAUGGAUGAAGGUAGGUUUUAAGCCCCAUAAUGAGAAGCUGACGUCAGCUAAAUGAACAACCUCGUCCGCUACGUUCCUUUAACAUCCUCUUCAGCAGGAGCUGGCAGACGACGCAAUGAUAUCAAACGCUUCCCGACUCGUAAUAAAUAGAAUCUUCCAAGGUUCCAGAGGAAAGUGCAGUACUGUGAGUUCCUCUGCGCUCCAGUUAGCUGCUCUGUCUCUUAUCGUUGAGAUUCACUGGAAUGAGGAAGGAACGAGGGAACAGCCCCUCCACAACCUACAGCUGUGUGAUACCUGCUGCUGGAAUGAGGAAGGAACGAGGGAACAGCCCCUCCACAACCUACAGCUGUGUGAUACCUGCUGCUGGAAUGAGGAAGGAACGAGGGAACAGCCCCUCCACAACCUACAGCUGUGUGAUACCUGCUGCUGGCUUUGGUUCCUGACAAAAACAUCUGUAUGUGAGGGUUUUCUGCACAACAUAUGAUGCUAUGAACACUGUUCCGCAGGGUUCUCUAUGUGCCGCAGGGUUCUCUCUGUUCCGCAGGGUUCUCUAUGUUCCGCAGGGUUCUCUAUGUUCCGCAGGGUUCUCUCUGUUCCGCAGGGUUCUCUCU